rnacentral:rRNA from 1 species
GACGAACGCUGGCGGCGUGCCUAACACAUGCAAGUCGAACGGAAAGGCCCUGCUUUUGUGGGGUGCUCGAGUGGCGAACGGGUGAGUAACACGUGAGUGACCUGCCCUUGACUUUGGGAUAACUUCAGGAAACUGGGGCUAAUACCGGAUAGGAGCUCCUGCUGCAUGGUGGGGGUUGGAAAGUUUCGGCGGUUGGGGAUGGACUCGCGGCUUAUCAGCUUGUUGGUGGGGUAGUGGCUUACCAAGGCUUUGACGGGUAGCCGGCCUGAGAGGGUGACCGGCCACAUUGGGACUGAGAUACGGCCCAGACUCCUACGGGAGGCAGCAGUGGGGAAUAUUGCACAAUGGGCGGAAGCCUGAUGCAGCAACGCCGCGUGCGGGAUGACGGCCUUCGGGUUGUAAACCGCUUUCGCCUGUGACGAAGCGUGAGUGACGGUAAUGGGUAAAGAAGCACCGGCUAACUACGUG